rnacentral:rRNA from 1 species
GACGUAGGGCGCGAGCGUUGUCCGGAUUUAUUGGGCGUAAAGAGCUCGUAGGCGGCUUGUCGCGUCGACCGUGAAACCUCACAGCUCAACUGUGAGCCUGCGGUCGAUACGGGCAGGCUAGAGUUCGGUAGGGGAGACUGGAAUUCCUGGUGUAGCGGUGAAAUGCGCAGAUAUCAGGAGGAACACCGGUGGCGAAGGCGGGUCUCUGGGCUAUAACUGACGCUCAUGCACGAAAGCGUGGGGAGCAAACAGG